GCACAAGCAGCGGAGCGUGUGGUUUAAUUCGAUGCUACACGAAGAACCUUACCUGGAUUUGACAUGCACGUAGUAGUGAACCGAAAGGGGAACGAGCCUUCGGGCAGCGUGCACAGGUGCUGCAUGGCUGUCGUCAGCUCGUGCCGUGAGGUGUUGGGUUAAGUCCCGCAACGAGCGCAACCCUCGUCGCUAGUUACAUGUGUCUAGCGAGACUGCCAGGUUAACCCUGGAGGAAGUGGGAUGACGUCAAGUCAGCAUGGCCUUUAUGUCCAGGGCUACACACACGCUACAAUGGUCGGUACAAUGGGAUGCCAAGCCGCGAGGCGGAGCAAAUCCUCAAAGCCGGCCUCAGUUCGGAUUGGAGGCUGCAACUCGCCUCCAUGAAGUCGGAGUUGCUAGUAACCGCAGGUCAGCUAUACUGCGGUGAAUACGUUCCCGGGCCUU
rnacentral:rRNA from 1 species